AUGGGAGGUCAUACUGCAGUGGUGUGUUUGGUUCAGCUGGCCAUAUGCUGUGUGCUACUGCCCAGAGCAGGGGAGAGUGCAGGAGGUAUUGUCUCUUUAGGCCAGGCUGUAGAGGAGAAAGGGAUGGAGGCCCUAUAUGGAGAGGAGUCCCAGAAUGAACCAGCUAAAGAAGAGGAACUCACAGAGACACAAAGCCAAACUAGCAAGGAAAAGAGAGCCACAGAGGAGGAUGCCCUACCAGCCAGGGUCAGGAGAGCCGAAGAGGAGGGCAAAGGGAAUAAAAAGAAGGGCAAGAAAGACAAGAAAGACAAGAAGAACAAGGAGCCCAAAGUGCCCAAGGCCACCAAGAAGCCUAAAGCAGACAAAAAGCCAAAGAAGGGCAAAGGAAAGGAGCCACGGACAGAAGCACCUACAACAACUCCACCACCUACAACUACCACACUACCACCCACAACUACCACACCACCACCUACAACUACCACAGAGGUGUACACAGAAGCAGCUCCCACAGAACCUGACCCAUACCCAGACUACCCCUACACAGACAACGAGGAUGACUACUGGAGGCCAGAUGAGGAGGAGCCUGGAGGCCCAGUGGUCGACCCAGAAGAUGACUACUGGAAGGGAGAGAACCCAACGGCCACGCCCCCCACUCCUGUGGUGGAUGGAAAGGUGGACAAGGGAGACGAGGACUACUGGGACGCCAGAUAUGAGGUGCCCGAGAAUCUUCCUUUCCCUGAUGGUACAGAGGUCGUCCCCACAGAGAAAGAUGACUGGAGCUAUGCUGUUACAGAGGAGCUUGUUACACCACCACCCACCUAUGAAAGCCCAUGGUACGAGGAGUAUGACUACGGGCAUAGUGGUGGACAGAGUACGUACACACACGGGCACACACACACACUGUCCUUGUGGGGACCAAACAAUUGAUUCCCAUUCAAAAUCCUAUUUUCCCUAACCCCUAAACCUAAUCCUGAACCGAACCCCAACCCCUAAACCUAACCCUUAAACCUAAUUCUAACCUUAACCAUAAUUGCAACCCUAAACAUAACCCCUAAGCCUAAAAUAGCAUUGCGAAAUGUCUCCACUUGUCUGUAUUUUCCUUGAUUUACUAUCCUUGUGAGGUAAAACACACACACACACACACACACACACACACACACACACACACACACUCUGCACUGUAAAAUAAACCCUUGGCCAAAUCUUCAAUAGAAAUAUGUUUUUCAUUUCAAAUGGGACCCUGUGGUGAAAUAAAGAUUAGAUAGACACAAUAAAGAACUGGGCCUUUACCACAGAGUCUAAAGUAAUGGGCCAACACUUCUCAUUCCCCACAAUAAUGAAAAAAAAGAACUGUAUACUGUUUCAAUUAUAUGGUCUGUUGUCCAAGUUUGGGUUGAGCAAGACUUUGGCAGCUGAUGUUCCAAACUCCCAAAUAAGAAAAUACCAAGUAACUGGAACAAACAACAGUCAGAUCAAGAUUAUUACCCCCUUCAAACACUUUGUCAUGUUUAUCAUUUGGAUAUUGUGGCAAACCUUAAGAAACACCUGGGUCUGUUCAGGAGGGGGAAACGUUACAGAACGUUUGUGUAUAUUAUGAUUGGUUGUCUGUCAGGUACAAUAGGAAAUCAUGACGUUAUCUUUUAUUCUAUCUGCAACGUUCUAAAUAUUUCACUCCACUGAAAACACCCCACAUACACAGUAUACUGGUACAUGUAAUGGGGAGGUGGGGGAAAGUAACCUCAAAUUCAGCCAUGAUUGUUUUUCCCUCCUUUGUUUACCACAGCGAAAAAACAGGAGGAGAGAGAGAUCCAAAGGAAAGAAAAGGAGAGAGAGGAUAGAGGUAUUGUGCACAGCCUAUUUUCCAUUAUGAUCUGAAUGACAGUGAUCUAUCUAUCUUCAGUUGUAGAUACUUCACAUAUACAGUAUCAUUUACAUGUUGGUCAUUAAGCAGACACUCUUAUCCAGAGCAACUUACAGUCAAUGCACUCACAAAAAAAAUGCUGGGUUAAAAACAACCCAAUUUGGGGUUUUUGGUAAAUAUGGGUAAAUAUUGGAUAGAACACACACUGGGUUAUUUUGUGUUGUCAAAAAAUGCAUUGUCAAAAUAUAGUUGACUUCUCAAAAUAUAAAUACAUUCAUCAAAACUAUAUUAAACCAUCGAAAUUGCAAAUACAUUCAUCAAAAGGAACACAACUGUCCUGCAAAAAGAUCAACGCAACCACACUUUUGUCCAAUUUCAAAAUUGGAUGUACAAAAGUAUAAUAAAGUGCAGAAUUAUGGGCAAUUACUCUCCUUUUAUGCAUGUUUCACCAAACAAUUUCAUAUAUAUCAAAUCAAAUUUGAUCCCUGAUUUAAAAAAAUAAUAAAACAAGCACAUUGUGCAGCAGUCAUUCAUGGGUAUCAUCACAAUCCAUUUCCAUAGUUUUUUUAGUUUCCAAUUGGGCACAGAAACACAAUCCCACAUUAGAAAUAGGAAAGUUGAAUACAACGGAGGAACACAACUGAUAUGAAUGUACAGUAUAUAGGCCUCAAUCCACAUCAAAGCAAAAUUCUAUAAUGGAAGGUCACAACGUAAAAAAAUGUCUGCAACCCAGCAGAUGGGUCAGCCAAACAACUCAGCAUUUUUGUUUGUGUCCAUUAAACUAAGGUAGGUAAAACAACCACAUAUCAGAGUCAUUGCAAGUAAAACUUAGUAACACUGCGAUGUCAUACUUUGCACUGUCAGUCAAGCAGAUGAACAUAUGACCAUGUCACUCACAGAUUCAUAAUGUAGUGGAGGAAUAUCAGUCCCUAAUGGUUCAUGUUUCCGCUUAAAGCGAAUGAGGGAGAAAAAAAACACAGAUAUCAGUCUCUACCUGGGCAUUGCAAACAUGUAGCUGUGAAGCUUCAGUAUGGCUCCACUUGCUAAGACGAGGGACAAAAGUGAAUUCUAUCUAGAGCAGGACAAAUCUGAACCAUAGAGAUGUGUUGUGAGGGAAGGAAAGGUCGCUGGUUCGAAUCCCCUGUUGCUGUGCCAUUGAGUGCCAUCUGCUAAAUGACUCAAAUGUAAACGUCUUUAACCUGCAUUGGUGCAUGGAAGAAGCUUUGAGCUGGAGCAGAAAGAAAGGAAGAGACGGGACAGCAGAGAGAGGUUACAGAACAUGCUGGAACGAAAGAUGAGGGAAAGAGAGAAACAACAUAAGGGAUAAAAACAGAGUAGAGAGUCAACAGUAAUGGAGGGGAGAGAUGUUGAAAUCAUGAGCUUAGAAUGAAGAUCGAAACACUUGGGAUAAGAACCAACAGCUGUUGCCACAUGUUCCAUUCUGUACUGUACCUCCUGCACAGCGAGGAGAGUAGAACCAGCUAAAUGUAUCAUCAGAAUGGAACCAGGGACUUUUGUCUAUGGGAGAUUACACUGAGUGUACAAACAUUAAGGACACCUGCUCUUUCCAUAACAGACUGACCAGGUGAAUACAGGUAAAAGCUAUGAUCCCUUCGUGAUGUCACUUGUUUAAUCCAAUUUAAUCAGUGUAGAUGAAUGGGAGACACAGGUUAAAGAAGGAUUUCUAAGCCUUGAGACAUGGAUUGAGUAUGUGUGCCAUUCAGAGGGUGAAUGGGCAAGACAAAAUAUUUAAGUGCCUUUGAAUGGGGUAUGGUAGUAGGUUGCCAGGCGCACCGGUUUGUGUCAAGAACUGCAACGCUGCUGGGUUUUUCACGCACAACAGUUUCCCGUGUGUAUCAAGAAUGGUCUGCCACCCAAAGGACAUCCAGCCAACUUGACACAACUGUGGGAAGCAUUGGAGUCAACAUGGGCCAGCAUCCCUGUGGAACGCUUUCAACACCUUGUAGAAUGGGGGGCGGGGUUACUCUGUCCACCACUAGCCGUGAUUGCACAUGUGUAUGCAGAACAAAAUCACAUUUAAUACAAAAUGUGACAGCUUUCACAUCCAGUUAGAGAUAGACACUUUAAGCAGGGUUACCCAUAAAAUGUGACUGGUGGUUAUGAAAGUUCGGAUACAACAGUGUGCGGCCUGUCUUAGAUUUACUGAAGAAAAAAAGAACAAUCUGAAUUUAAUCAGCACAUUCCUGAAUUUGGAGAAAUAUAAUACAUCUGGUUUCCUGCCUAUCUGCAAUGUGGAUCCUCUGAGGCAUUACUGCAGUUGUCGAUAAAUACACACACACACACACACGCACGCACGCACACACACACACACACAGAGAAUCCAUUACUGGAAUUGUAGUUAGUGAUUGACUAUGGUCCUGUUUGACAGAGAGAGCUCAGCAGAGGAGGGAGGAGGAAGAGAGGGCCAAAGCCAAGAAGAGACCACACGUAUUCAAGGAGCCCAAAAGUAAGUAACUUGCUACCAUCCAAUGAUACAAUACUCGGUUAGUAAAAGUUUUAGCAAGAGCUUCAGAGGUUUUCCAUUGUGGUUUGAAGUUUUUGUGAUGCGUGUGUGACUGAGAUGUUUUCCCCUGGUGG
ensembl:lncRNA